CUCUCCCGUCUAAUAAAAUGAGGGAGGGUAACCGUCGGGGAACUAUUAAGCAAUUAAAUAAUUCGGUUAGACGUUUAUCAGGAAUUUCAGUUCAUAAAAUGUAAACGGUAAUAAGCGUACAACCCUCUAUGGUGCCCCUGCGUUGUGUGGAUUGUCGAUAGAAGCGAUAACUGGCAUUUCAUUGACGGGAGUGUUAUAUAAACGUGAUGAGACAGUGUAGCGUAAUAUUUCAUUGAUGGAUGAGUUGGACUGUUUGUAAACGUAAUAGAGUGGAACUUUUAACAAUGGCAAUUGGAUUAUUUCGUGCGCCAUAGCGAGAGGUUGCACUUUCGAUUCUCAUGGGGUAUGAAGUUUUGAGAAAAGCGGCCAGACUCAACUGGGAAUAGAUGGUUGCCGGUGCGGAAAUGCAGCAUACUUAAUCGUAGUGAUUGAGGUGAUAGGUGUAUUCAAGGCUUCGACAUUGUAUGUAUCAGGUGUACCAUGUUCAUCCGGGUCUGGUGGCAAUAUAUCUGGGUGUAUAGUUGCGUACACAAGGUGGCGCGUUUUCAGCAGAGUCCGUGUCGCUGUAUGAAGAAAGCGGAAGUGUUUGAUGAACAUGUUCACAACGGGUUUUAGACGAGGAGCAGGGCAAAAAUACACAAUUGACACAAAAUGCCACGUUCCCGGUGUGACCCUAGACAACAGUCGCAGUGGGGUUAUCGAUCACCGUAUUUCCGGCCGCUGGUCUUGGAGAUGUUAUCGGGGUCGCUUGUGACAUAACUGGGUGGACCUCCAUCAGGUAUCCGGGCUGUCUCGAGGACAAUUUGGUGGGUGAGAGUGACGGUUUCCUGCUGCGCUGUUUGGGCGCCGCUGGAGCCUUUCCUUUGGAACGACGUGGCGUUUCGGUUAGGAGCUCAGGUUCAUCGACAGCUGCGUCCGAUUCAUCUUCUGAGGCUGAUUGUACCUCACGAACAAAUAUGGGUUCCUUUGGGGGCUCCGUGCUUAAUUUCGGUGGUUGAGCACUGACGGCAUAAUCUGCGGUGAUUUUCUGGAAGCGUUGAUCAACGCGUGAGGCAACGUCGGAGUUUCUGGAACCGCGCAAUAUACUAUGCCAAUCAGGAAACAGGUUCCUGAUAACCUCGCCGUGAACAGAUAGUGCCGCCGGGAAUAGCAUUUUCACGCUCUUGCUGCCGUAUUUUUCACGAGCCGCCUUGAAUUCAGGCCACAGCUCCUUGCGUGCUUCGCUUAUCUCACGUGGAUAGUCCCGCGAUAUUCCGAAGUGAGUGUUUUUCAACAGUUUUGCGCUGACCAUGAUAUCAUUGACAUAACGCGGGUCAGACAGUGUAACGAGUAUCGCCCGACCGCGUGUAGUGCCUUGUGCACGGGCAACGAUGCGCCGGCCAAUUCUCCUUGCUUCAACUAUGCUGUGUAGCCCAAGAGUCAUAUUGAGUUUGCUUGUCAGGAACUCUAGGAUCGUUUGGGUACAUUCCUCGGUACCAACACACUCAGGAAAUCCAUUGAAAAUUAGGUUAUUACGGAGGGAACGGGCUUCAAUGUCGAGACUUUUGUACUCAAGGAGUCGUAGACGGGCCUCUGUGACGUCAUUGAUUGCUUUUGAAUGAUAAAAACUGUUAUUUUAACAAUCCAAUUUGUAGUUCAUAUCAUAGUUUGUUGAUAUCAUGUCAAAAAGACAGUUUAACUUAUGCUCCAUGUCCAUAUGCUCGAACUGCGCACGGGAUGUGGCGGAAAACUGAAGGUCACCCUGGUUUGGGUGGGGUGAGCACGGUACCGACGAGUCACUGGUAGCAUGUCUCCUUCGCUUAGAGUCCCGUGUCAUCCCGUCCCUUGAACUGGACAGAGGGGCAUAUUUACCUGUGUACCGGUUUGCCAUUAUAAAAUUAGAAAAUUUGAAGUUUAA